rnacentral:rRNA from 1 species
AGAGUUUGAUGGUGGCUCAGAUUGAACGCUGGCGGCAGGCCUAACACAUGCAAGUCGAGCGGAAACGAGUUAUCUGAACCUUCGGGGAACGAUAACGGCGUCGAGCGGCGGACGGGUGAGUAAUGCCUGGGAAAUUGCCCUGAUGUGGGGGAUAACCAUUGGAAACGAUGGCUAAUACCGCAUAAUAGCUUCGGCUCAAAGAGGGGGACCUUCGGGCCUCUCGCGUCAGGAUAUGCCCAGGUGGGAUUAGCUAGUUGGUGAGGUAAUGGCUCACCAAGGCGACGAUCCCUAGCUGGUCUGAGAGGAUGAUCAGCCACACUGGAACUGAGACACGGUCCAGACUCCUACGGGAGGCAGCAGUGGGGAAUAUUGCACAAUGGGCGCAAGCCUGAUGCAGCCAUGCCGCGUGUAUGAAGAAGGCCUUCGGGUUGUAAAGUACUUUCAGCAGUGAGGAAGGUGGUAGUGUUAAUAGCACUAUCAUUUGACGUUAGCUGCAGAAGAAGCACCGGCUAACUCCGUGCCAGCAGCCGCGGUAAUACGGAGGGUGCGAGCGUUAAUCGGAAUUACUGGGCGUAAAGCGCAUGCAGGUGGUUUGUUAAGUCAGAUGUGAAAGCCCGGGGCUCAACCUCGGAAUUGCAUUUGAAACUGGCAGACUAGAGUACUGUAGAGGGGGGUAGAAUUUCAGGUGUAGCGGUGAAAUGCGUAGAGAUCUGAAGGAAUACCGGUGGCGAAGGCGGCCCCCUGGACAGAUACUGACACUCAGAUGCGAAAGCGUGGGGAGCAAACAGGA